rnacentral:lncRNA from 1 species
GCUCACACGGGAGCCCCUCCUCCCCUCAGCUUCACUCCAUCACCCUCCUCCCUCACCAGCGUUAGCGAACAUUUACUGAAUGUUCACCGUAGCCAGGCUCUGGAAAGCGCUUUAGAACAGCCCCGUUUGACAGCUGAGGAGACCGAACCCGAACCUAAAGGAGACAGACUUGGGGUUGAACCCCGGCGGGCUUUGCCUGGAGCUGCGGAAACCGAGAGCCGGGGGAGUGGGUGGGGCCCGGGAGGGGCGGUCCAAUCAGAAGAGACAGAUGACCCGCCCACAGACCCCCGGCCAAACCCUGCUGGGCCGGUGGUUUUCAGGUGUAUUCGCUUCACUCACUGGUUUAACGGAGUUUCGUCGAGCUUGUGCUCUGAGGCGGGACCAGAGUUGGGCAAGCCCCGCCCCCAUCCUCCAUCCUCGCCCCUCCCCCGGCUCAGCGAGCCCCGCCCCGCCCUGAGACCGCAGGCGUGCGCAGGUGGCCGGCCGGCGCGGCAGGUACGGUGGUGGGAGCAGGCGUGGAGGUUAGGGGCGUUCGUCCUGCCUCGAGUGGGCAGGUGUCCCGGCUCAAGGCAGGCCCAGAGGGACCGCCGAGAUCAUCCAGUGCAACCCCUGCACUUACCAAGGAGAAAGAAUUCUGAACCCAGGAAGAGAAGAGGGGGUCAUGAGACAAAAAGAAGGUCACUGAAAAAGAAGGACAUAGGGACAGAGGCUAUAGAGAGGCUUGGCUGUGACAGAUUGUCAGGGAGAAGGGGAGAGACUUUUGUUUUGAUGUUGUUUUCAAACAACAGCAGUUACCUGGAAAGAAACCAACCACUACCAACUAUAGCCUAAAUAUAAAGUGACUGAGGAAGCAUAAGAAAUGUGUCUCAAGCGAUGCAAAGCUGUGCGUGUAUCAACAUGAGCAAACUAAUUCAGAUGGGCAUGCAGAACACAAAUGGGAGGGGUGAUGGGGUUGACUGUAGUUAUUCUUUGCUUUUUGUUUCUUGCCUGAUGAAAAAUUUGCAAUUUUUGCACUGUCACAGAGCACUCAAAACUGUGAUUAUGUUUCACAAUUUCGACAGCUAGUUUCAUGUACUUUAAGUAGUUCUAUUCUCUUCUAGGCAAUUUGAACAAUUUGCUCUUCCCUGGGAAGUUAAGGGAGGACCACACUUGCCUCCACUUCCCACUAACCCUGCACGGAGAGCAAGCCAUACAGCUGGCAUUUGUUGAACACUGCUCUAAGUGUGUUGUGCAUAAGAACUCAUUUAUUCCUCAUAACAACCCAAGGAGGUAGGUACCAUUAGAAUAGAUGAGGAAGUGGAGUGUCAGACUGGUAGGUACCUGGUCUGAGGUGACCAGCUGGUAAAUGACAGGCUGGAAUUUGAACCAGGUAUCCUGGCUCCAUAUCCUGCAUUCUCAGCCGUUAGCUAGUCCAACUCUUGGUGUCUUACUUGAUGACAGCAGAACCAUACCCAGGCUUCCUGAUUUCUAGACUAGACACUUUCCUCCCCACCAUCUCCAUGUAGGUACAUCAUGGGACCAGAGUCCAUUUGCUGAAGGGAGAUGCAAUGGUAAGUUCUGCAGAUCUGCCCUGAAUAUGAGGCACAGGUGGGAGACAUGGGAGGAGAAAGCAGGCUCCUGCUGAGACCCGGACUCCAGCCCCUUUUCAUGCCCCAGGGAGCUCCGGCCAGGGAGGAAGAUCCAAUUUCCAGGCAUAGUUGAAACUGGAGCUGGGCUGCCCCCUCCCGCUUGCCUCCUGUGCCCCUCCCCUAUGUGUGCUGAUGUGGAAUAGACCGAGGGCACAAGGGGAAGUAUUGUUCCUGCCCCUACCUCCUGCGACCCAGCUCCCAGC